CGGCCGUGCAGGAAUCCUUGGAUCUCAGUGCAGAUGUCCAGAGCCAGAGACUGAGCUCUGUGGACGUCCAGUGGAGCCAACGCUGCCCUGCUGUGGUAGAACUGCUGCAGACGAUGCUGUGAAGACCCCCAGCUGGAGCCCACGGGACGGGACGGUACCUGCAGCGUGACGACACUCAGCUGGAUCCUCCUGGACUUGGACUCAGGUCCGGAGACCUCCAGAGACGACACGGGCGAUUGUUGGCACAGGUCGUCUGUCACAGGACAAAGGUCAGGGACAGCUGUGGAGGAGCGCCGAGCGGCGAGGUACAGGAGACACGGUCUAUUUCUGGAGUAAAUACAUGCCUGACUCAUGCUGACUGGAUCAAAUAUAUAACAGCCAUGUCUGGUGAGUUACAUCACGACUAAUGUCUGCAGCAGGUACACACUACUUCUUAGUGUGUGUGUGUGUGUGUGUGACACCAGAGCAGGGGUAAAUUAAAAAAAUAAAUAUUUCUCUGACAUAUUUCAGUGACACUUAUCUGAACACGUUUCUUUUAUUAAAGAUCUCGUUUAUUUUCAAUCCACUUCCUGACGAGGUUUUCAUCACAGACAAAUUAAGAUUAAAACAUAAAUGUAAUCAAUGUUUGCUGCAGUAGCUCCAACUGCAACAACUGCAGUUCAAGGCCACGUGUGAAAGUCUGGUUGAAAAAACACUGUAAACAGUCAAUUCUCUACAUGAAUGUCAAAGUAAAAAUGGACACAAAACCAACCAUCUACAGCACGAUGACUAGGACGGUACCCAAACCAUAGUUUGAGAACCACUGAUCUAGUGUUUAGUGAUGCAUUUAUCUGUAUAAAUAUAAAAAACAUUAACGAGGAGCAACACAAGUAAAGAAAAGACAGUGACACUUUUACGUCACCAGUUUGCGAUUUUUCACAAAAAAGGCUGUUAUUGUGUUAUGUAAGAAAGAUGGCAGUCAGCCACUUCCGGUUUAGACAGAAGAGAAUAGAGAAUCUAAUCAACUUAUGAUACUGUGUAGUACAUGUCGUCAUACUGGUCACCACUGACCGGAGAGACUGCGACUUCUAACUUGACCCAGUAUUUAUUAAACUGUUUAUACAAUUAUAAGUCAAACAUUACAUUAUAGGUGAUCAAAA